rnacentral:lncRNA from 1 species
CCAGGCCUAAUUCACAAAGGGGUUUUAAAUUUCAGGAAAAGGGUAGAGGAAAAUGGGGGAGCUCUGAAGGUUAUACGAAGACUGGGAGGCUAUUUGCAGAUUUAGAGAUAUUGUGGACUAGGGGUUUAUCAUGUCUGUGGGGAAGUGACUGCAUGGGGUAACCCUUAGUGGUCUCCUGCCACUCUUGGCUUGUUUCCUGACUGUGUGGUGAUAGCUAACGUCCGUAAGAAGCGUACUGAAGGCUGGAACGGGAUAACACAGGGAAAUUGUACAGUGACCAAUUCAUUGAAGUCUCAGCUAAUGUGUGCGGAAUAGUUUUUUUGGCCAAAUUUUGCUUUGGCUACUUUGGGCUCAAACCGGAGUACCUUGACAACACAAGAAACUGUUGGACAAGCAAACAAAACUGCAUUGCAAAUAAAUGUAGAUACUUAUGUGUCAGGGAGGUUUACAUGUAUAGUAGCAUUAUGCUUUUGCAACUAAAAUGAAAAUCAAAAGGUCUUUGUGAGGCUUGGUUUCUUUGGCUUCAAUGCUUGAGGUGUUUGUCAAUUUUGUGAAGUCAUACAUAUGGCCAUACAUCACUUGAAGUAGGUCGUGUAUAAAAUUUGGAAAUGCAGAAUUGAUGUGAUUGGGAGAAUGCCCUCUUGCAGACUUGCACUGCAUUUAUGUUUCAGCGGUUCAGGGUCAUCUAACACCAUACUACACACACUCCUCAUAAGGCUGUCAUGUAAACCUAGCCCUUGUUCUCUUACCUCCAAACUCCUAACUUUUACACUAUGCAAAAAGAAGAUUCCCCAUCACAUCAAACUUGCGGUACAUGCAUGGAGUACUAAAUGUAGACGAAAUCAAAAACUAAUUGCACAGUUUUGUUGUACUUUGCGAGACGAAUCUUUUGAGCCUAAUUAGUCAAUAUUUGGACAAUAAUUCACAAAUACAAACGAAACGCUACAGUGUUGCUACAGUAAUUUGGCACCUCCCAAAUUCGCGAAGUAAACAAGGGCCUAUGUUGCUUUGUUUCUCUGAAAUAAAGCAGGAGAACCUUGAUUCUAACAAUGUUUCAGCCGUUCUUUUGGGGUUCAGGAUAUGAAGGAAUGGGAUCAGCUUCCUGAUGCUACUUAUGUGUUGUACCUUUUGUUUUGCGUCCAAGUUUUGGGAAUAUUUAAUUACUUUUCUUGUUUCUGCAGGUGUUAAUAUUAUCGCACCUGGACGAUUUGCACAAGAACCUGUUGCUGAGAAAGCUGAGGACAGUAGAGAGAAAAUGGCAAAUGCUUUUGAGUACAACCAUGCAUCUAAACCAAUGCAUUCAUGAGCUUUUCAUCAAGUAAUUUUAACAGUUGGAACCUGAGUUGUAUCCAAGUUGUAUUCAAAUGGUUGUGCGUGUAGCAUGCUCACCAAGAAACUCAAUAGCAUCUAAUCCUCUAAACUCAUGAUCCAGUGGUGUUUUUACUUAGGUUACCUAAGGUAUAAUUUUAAUUUCUGAUGAACUUCUUACUAUGGUCAUGCAAGACCAUUGUGCAUAUAUGAUGCUCAAUUGCUUAUCAUGGCUGACUUAUGGAGCUUGAUGCAAUUUAAACAAUCUAUAUUUAGCUGGAAUGUACUCAUCGGAUUAUUCUGUACUCAAAUUAUGCGCAACCUUAUUUUGUUCAUGGACUUUCAAUUCCUUCUAGGAUUUUUUUUUGGCAAUUGAUUUGUGCAGAUAGAUAUUUGGUAAACCUCUGUAUUACACACAGCAUACACUGUGAGUUCUUGCAAAGAAACUUACAGCGCUGCUGACGCAAGUGCUUAUGCUGUAGAAACUGAAGAAAGCUACUCUAGGUUUGCCGGCAUCGGAUAUUCUUCAGUCUUCACCAUUGAUUAUUUUCGUGCUCUGUGCUGCGUGUAGCCACUUUUUCCGUGCCCAGGUACCAGUAGAUGGAAAUUACCCAGACCCACAUGUGAGCCACUAUUUGGUUUUCGGUACUUUUUUGUAGGUAAAGUUCAAGUAAAUUUACAUCCUUGGUUCACAAAUGAAUUUCACACAGUAUUUUCAGCGGAUUUCCUUAAAUCCUUUGAUCAGAACCCUUGUAAGGCACAAUUCAUUCAUGGAACAAGUCAUCCUGACAAUGCUGGUAGAAGCUAAGUGAGGCUUGUCAGUAUCUGCCAAAUAGAUGAAAACAAAGGGAUAACACAACACGUUAUAUGUUCAAAUAGGAUUUGAUGCAGAAGAAACCAUGUGCUUGACGACACACCAGUUUACAUAAAUGGACAUCAUGAUCUUGACAAACUUUUCUUUUUCGAAAUGUAAUUCGGUUUCAUCCUUAUCAAUGCUGCUAGAGCUCAUAUUUUGACAAAACCUGAGGUAUUGGAGCGGCCUCCAUUCACCACAAAACCUGAGGUAUUGGAGCUGCCUCCAUUCACCCCAGCUUGCGCCCUAAAUUAGAUUUUCAGGAAUGACAAAGGUCAGAUCUCUCUUUUCAGUAUCCUCCAAACAAUUAGCACUAGUGAUCAGUCUGCACACAGUUUUGUAGAACAGACAGUGCAGCUUUACUAGAAGGAGCUUUACCAGAGGUCUGCUGGUUGCCUGAUUUUUUGAGUUGCAGUGUAGUACUUGCUUUCUGUUGUUGUGAAUGUGCAACGCAGGCCCUCCAGCAUAGGUCGACACAACCAGCUUGCAUUGUUGACAACCAUGAACAAGGAGCUAGCAGUUCCAAUGACCAAGCACAUGCAUGAAUUGAAUCAUAUAAAGGGCAUGCAUUGACGACGCACCUCUAGCUGGACGGAACGUGAUGCCAGGCGGCGCGACUGGCUGCAAUCACCUGCAUGCGGCGGUGCUCUCGACUGACCUUCUUUCUUUGGUUCGCGCGCCAUGUCUGCCAUGAAUCGCCUCCAUGUCGCCUCGGUCUGUGAUGGAGAGGGCGCGGCACCGUGGACUCCCGGAGGAAGGGAAGGUUGGUGACGGGAGGGACGGCCGGCCGGCCGGAGUGCCGUGAGCGAAGGGACGUCGCCGCCGCGUCUGGGACAGCGCUCAUUGGGUGCCGCCCUGACAUGGUGGGCCCAGGCGUACCUACUCUCCUGAUGAUCACAUCAAUCAAGAUAUUUCGCCGUGAAGUGCUUGCAGCAAGCUGCGAGCUCGCCGUGAGGCGGUCGCCGGAGGGGGACGCCUGCUGGAGGCCGCGGACGUAGGCGGCGGCGUAGCGCGCGGACACGGUCGGGUCCUCGCCGGGGGUCUCCUGCCCCCGGCCCCACCGCGGGUCACGGAAGAUGUUGACGUUCGGGGACCAGAAGGUGAGCCCCGCCUGCCCGCCGUCGUUCAUGGCGCGCGCCUCGUCGGAAACCGCGUGCAGAAAUGGAAUGAUAAAACAUAAAAAGUGUUCUUUUUUUUUUUCCUUGGUCGUCGCUCGUCGCGACUUCGCGAGGCACGAGGGCGCGGGUCCCAUUGGGUAUCUGCAUCUCUGACCCGUGUCUGGCCAAUCACGUGGCGAGCGCAAGUUACGAUGCACGCCGGCGAUCGCCGGCAGCGGCGCACGUGAAGGAUCGGAAGUGGCGCUCGUGAUCGAACAGGGGACUCGGCAGACAUGUUUACUGCUGCUGCUCGACAUGCACAGGCAGAGGACGCAGGCGAGGCGAUGAUGGUUCAGACAUCAGAAGCAAGGCCACUUGCAAGUUGCAACUUGCUCAAGAUCUUCAAGACGAAACAGCAGAUACAUGCCCAACAAUUCAGAAAAAUGUAGCAGUAGAGUCGACAUUUUAGGCUCCGUUUGGAUUUUAGUUGCUUCGAGUUCCUAUCACAUCGAAUGUUUAGAUACUAAUUAGGAGUACUAGUCCAUCAACCCGUGCUCCCGCACGAGUUAAUGUUUUUAGAAGUUAUUGUAUUUAAAAUUAUUUAGAAAUUAAACUCUUAGCUAAUAAUCAAAAUUUUUUACCUACUGCUCUAUUAUUUUUCCAAUACUUCAACAUAAUACUUAUAUACCUAUCUUUGUCCAGUUGUGAUUGAUUUUUAAUUAAUAAUUACUCUAUGCACUUUUUCAUCCACAUUCAUACUUGUUCAUUUUGUAUCACAACUCCAAUCCUCCAUACAUUAUGUUUAGCAUACAAAUCAAUAUUUUUCAUCGAUUCCGCACGUAUAUGCAUAAAUGGUCUAAAUGGUGGCACUCAUCAUGUGUAUAUACUUUAACUUAGUAUUUUUAUAUUACCAAUGACAUAAAUAUGUAAUUUAGAAUCAUAUAUUAGUUUACUUUUUGACAUUUCUGUAUGAUGCACAUGAAGAUAAUUAGAUUAAGAUUUAGAUGUUUACUUUAUGUUAUUUUUAAUAACGACAUACGUGGGUAACAUAGAUAAAAUUUUAGAAUGACAUUUUAAGUUAUGUUUUAUAAUGAUGUGUAUUAGUAAAUUGGAUGAAUAUUAUGAGGUUACUUUAGAUUAUGUUUUAUAAUAGCUGAGCUCGGUAAUUUAGAUAUAGGUUUAGAGCUCAUUUUUUAAUAUUUUCACAAUGACAGUGGUGGGUAACUUUUUAGAAAAUAUAAUAGAUCAAUGGCUAUGAUUAUUAGAGUUUAAAGGAUUGGUGUUUGAUGUUUUUAAUUUUUAUGAGAAUUUCUCUCUUUUUUCUAGUUUGUCUCGUGGGAACUAAUGCAGAGUCUCCAAUGAAAAAGAAAUGAGACUACAUUACUACAAAACUACUACCAUAGGCUACCUCUCAUUUGUUAAAUAUUCGAACACAAUACUUAUGUAGAUAUAUACUUAAUAUCUUCAUCCAAUUGUGAUAGAUUUUAGUUAGUAAUUACUUUAUAAUAUUUUCAUCCACAUUUAUAAUCUUUAACUUUUCACUUUGGAUCGCAGGUAUGCACUUAAAUUUGUUUAAUGAACCCUAUGUUUGAGAUACAAUUUUAGCAUAGAAAUCUAUAUUCCCAUCACUUUAUAUCCUUAUAAAUGGUGACACACAUCAUGCAUAUAGACCUUAAUUAUUAUAUCGUAUACCAAUAGUGUAAGAUAUAGACAAUUUUGAAUCAUAUAAUGUUGUAUAUUUUUAAUUAAGGUUAUUUGAUUCAAACGUAGGUUACCUCAUGUUAUUUUUAAUAAUAGCAUGUGUAGGUAAUAUAGAUGCAAAUUUAAGGGGUUACUUUAAGUUCUUUAAGUAAUAGUUGUAGGCAAUUCAGUUGCAAAUUAGGGGGUUAUUUUAAAUAUUGUUUAUAAUAUCAUAAGUGGGUAAUUUUGAUGAAGAUUAGGGGGUUACUUUAGUUUAUUUAUAUAAUGGCAGAGGUGGGUAAUUUAUAUAUAGAUUUAGGGGUUACUUUAUUAGGCUAUUUUUAUAAUGGCAUAGGUGGGUAAUUUUUUUAGAAAAUAUAAUAGAUCCAAUGGCUAUGAUGAUUUGAAUCUAUCGAUCGAUGGUCGGAUGUUUUGCUUUUUGUGAGAAUUUCUAGGAUUUCUCUCUUUUUCUAGAGUGUGUCCACCUAGGAAUCCUAGGUGGCUUCACCUGAAGGCUUCAAAAGGAACCUCCAAUUAAUAAUAGUAAGAUUAAACAUAGACUAAUUGGAAAACCAAUUGCACAGAUGGAGGCUAAUUUGCGAGACGAAUCUAUUAAGCUUAAUUAGUCCAUGAUUUGAUAAUGCGAUGCUACAGUAAACAUAUGCUAAUGAUGGAUUAAUUAGGCUUAAUAGAUUCGUCUCGUGAAUUAACCUCCAUCUGUGUAAUUAGUUUUAUAAUUAGCUCAUGUUUAGUUCUCCUAAUUAACCUUCGAAUAUUCGAUGUGACAUGAACUUUAGUCCGAACUAAAGAUCAAACACUCCCUUAGUACACUCCCUUAGUCAUUAAGGAUUCGAUUUUUUCAGGUUUGGUUUUUCUAAAAAACUUACUAGGAGACGGUUUUAUUAACUCCCCGUAAAAAACCAAGAACAAUCUUUGAAACCGUCAUUGUUGGUGACGGUAGUUGGGAGUGGCAUGUUUUGGAGUGUUGGAAGAUGGCAAAAGUGCGCAUGCCGAAACGAGGAGCGAACCAGCCAGGCAGCCAGGCAGCCAAGGACGUCAGAACAUCAGUGUCCCUACUAGGGAAUGGAACCACUACCCUCUUUGCAGCAAAAUAGCCUAGUUGCUGCACUUCACCAUGGCCGUUGCUUUGCUGCCAUGGCGUCGGCUUUUCCAUCGUCUUUUUUCUAAGAUGUGCCACCUUUUUGCUUACCAGUUUGCUUUUUUUUUUACCCAAGAUAUUUUUUUUCUAUUUAGGAUAAGAGGAGAAAUGGUAUGGGUUCUGAAAAGGAUUGUUAGAUUUGGCUAGGCUGGCUUUGCACAUGGCUGCGCGGUCUCGCCAUUGGCUUGGCACUUUGGCAGUGGCCAAGAAGGAAUUCCAAUUUCCAUCCAUCCGCCCAGGGCCGGUCCUGGGGCAGGGUGGACGGGGCGGCCGUCCCAGGCCCCCCAAAAGUCAGGGCCCCAGUUGGUGUGUAUCAGUGUCUGCAAUAGCUAGUGAUUUGUGCCAUCAUGAUCUGGAGCGAAAGGACCUUCCUCCGUGAAACACGUCGCUUCAGUCAAUUGUGAUUAUCUUCCAUGCCCUAAGCCGGCCCCUAAUCCCGUCUUGUCUCCGCUCUUCUCUCCUUCCUCGUAUCUAGCACAAAACACUCCUGCAUAUCCCUUUUUUUUAUUUUGAUAUAUCGUGAGAUGGCAAUAAUCAUAGCCACAUGGGGAGGGUGAAAGAAGUCCGGCUUACAGCUGAUUGUUAUCGCAGUUUGUUUCAUGCCUAAGUUGAUGUUAUUAAAACAAAAGCCACAUAGAUACUCUCAAAAAAUAGAAGAAAAAUUAUGUAGGUACGCUUCAGGGAAAUAUAAACUAAAGGCAAUAAAUAAUACUGAUAGGAAAAUAUUAGUUGUAAUUAAUGCAAUAAAUGCUUUUAGAUUAUACAUAGGAUUUAAAGAGUUUACGGUACGGACAGAUUGUGAAGCUCUACGUAGAUACUAAAUUAAUAGUAAGAAAAGUUCAACUAGAAGAUGGGUCUUAUUUGAAGAUAUUAUUACAGAAAAUGGAUAUAAAGUAAUAUUUGAGCAUAUAACCUUCGUGAUAUAUUCUUUCGGUCAUCUAUUUUGCAGGAAUGAAAAGAGGAGUAAGCCAAACAAGGGGUGAUUAUUUUUGUUUUAGAGUAGAAAAUAAAUUAAGAAUAUUUCCACCAAAUACAUAUAAAUUUAAGCCCAGAGAUCAUGUUGUACUUGAUGAAGUACAAAAAUGUAUACUAGAUAAUUUCUGGUAUCAAUAUAAUAAUAAAAGAGAUGAUAAAGGUUAUAUGCUAGCUAUACUAGCUUAGUUGAAUAUUUUCAUACGAUUAAUGGUUUAAUACAACCAAAAGAGACACCUGAAAAUAUAGAGAAAAGACCUAUAUAUGUCAUAUAUAAAGGAAAGGCUCCAGGAUACCAGGACGGAAAGAGAUUUCAGGAAAUUGAAUAUUUGAGUUACUGUUCACUGCUACUAUUCAAAUUCAGGAUACUAUUCAAGGUAUGAGAUACUAUUUAUAUUAAGCACACUAUUCAAAAUAUGAAUAUGAACAAUGCUUGAGCACUUAUCCUUGAGUGGGUGGAUCACUUCAAGAUGAGUGGCACUUGGGAACUAUUAAGUAUUCUGGGCACUAUUGCGUAAGUAUUCAACACUAUGGGUCGCUUUCACGAUAUGCACGGGUGCGUGAUUAGGAUAUAGCUUAAUUAGACUAUAUCGAUUCACAGGAUCUUUGCAGGUUGGCGAGACCAAAAAUUCAGCCAGUCGUACUGCUAUGCUUUGUGUUACUCCUACUCGGUACUCACCGCAUGCAUCGCUGGCUCGCUUUAGAACCAGGCUAGCCCGAUCUUCACCCUCACCAUCCCCAGCCACGCACACACAGGACUCCGGCUCUACCGUCUCCCCAGGCAGUUCCAUCCGAAGGGAACACUUCUCUGCACACACAGGGUUCUCCUCAAACGCCGCUACUAGGGCUAACACAAGAACGACACACAGAGAGGUUUCUCCUCUAGGGUCCCUAGCGUAGAGACAUCGCUCUAUAUGAACGAGCUUAAAGGAAGGCACGGAUAUUACCAGGACAGUUUAAUCCAUUUCCACGGGACAAGCUGACAUACGACUUUCCCUUUUGGAAAACCCCAAGCACUUAGCAGAAACCUUAGGGAUUACCUUACAACCGUGUGAUGAGCUUCACCGACUUCCCUUUAUUCUACUUUUACAAAGGUGGUGGAGUAAUACAACGGUAGUGGGGUGUCACUACUAAUGGUGGAUAUUCUCAGAGCACUUCUGAGGUGGCGGUCUUCAUGGAGUAUUGGAGAGUGGAGUGGGAGUGGAGGUCUUUGCUGAUCGAGCGAUGAUGAUGGUGGUGGUUGUUCUUAUGCUAGUUCUUCUAGUGCUGGUGUUGAAUGCUUCACCCGACUUCUCCUUUUAUAGCCCGAGGAGAGGCUUUGGGAGACUCUUCAAUUAUUUAUCUCUGCUAUUGCCUGGACAACUGGACGGUGCUUCAUUCUUCAAUAACUUUUCUAGCUACAGUAGAGUUACUAUUUGUUCCUUUCGCUCUCUGCCCUCUAUCGUGUACUGUCUUCCCAUGACAUUUUGGAUGUUGCUUGGUAUGGUCUUCCACGCCCGAAUGAUUGACGUCGCAGACUUCAAUCACAAAUAUCAAGGCAUGUAUUAUUGUUCCCACGACCGAAUUGUUGUUAACACUUUAACAAUAGGGAAUAUAUUGUUAUGUGAGGCCGAAUAUUCUUUUAUAAAUGCUAUAUUUUCAUAUUUAUUCACUUUCUUCAAUAUCGGGUUCUUCUAGUUGCCAUAAUUCAUACCAUGACAACAAUUCAUGAUAUUCCUUUCAUAACUCUUAUUCUUGACUAUCACCUCGGAUAUCCAUCAUAUAAUCAUCAGAUAUUGGUCUAUCAUUUUUAAUUCAUAAUCUUUCUGUAUAUUUUUAAAUUUUUCAUCUAUUUCAACCAUUAUUUCUUCCAAAAUUUCUUCCUUUAAAUUUUUGUUCCACUGGGGAUAUAUUGAUUCAAACUUUUCUUUUAGCUUCUUCUCAAUAUAUUCUUCAUUCAAUGAAUCUGUCUCUUUCUUUAAGACUUCUUUAUAUGUUGGUAUCCCGGAUGGUCCAUCUUCUCUUAUAUUAAUUCCAGGUAAGCUUAACUUAACCUCCUUUGAUUUUUUGUAUUUUUGAAUAUAUUCUUUUGCUGCAGGCUCUAAAAACUAAUUCGCUCCCAAAAUAUUUCUAGCAUAUGAGAGUGCUUGAUCAAUAUCAGUGUAUUUUUUCCAUAAUAUUCCUCCAUCUUUGUCUUUUUCUAUCUUUUGAGCUAUGACAUGCUCAUAUGAUACAUAAAUUCCUGGAGCCUUUCCUUUAUAUAUGACAUAUAUAGGUCUUUUCUCUAUAUUUUUAGGAGUCUCUUUUGGUUGUAUUAAACCAUUAAUCGUAUGAAAGUAUUCAGCUAAGCUAUUUAGUAUAGCUAGCAUAUAACCUUUAUCUUCUCUUUUGUUAUUAUAUUGAUACCAGAAAUUAUCUAGUAUGCAUUCUUGUACUUCAUCAAGUACAAUAUGAUCUUUGGGCUUAAAUUUAUAUGUAUUUGGUGGAAAUAUUCUUAUUUUGUUUUCUGCUCCAAACAAAAACAAUCACCCCCUAUUGGGCUUACUCCUCUCUUCAUUCCUGCAAAAUAGAUGACCGAGAGGUAUUAUCUUUUCCUUUUAUACGCUCAAAUAUUACUUUAUAUCCAUUUCCUGUAAUAAUAUCUCCAAAUAAGACCCAUCUUCUAGUUGAAAUUUUCUUACUAUUAAUUUUAUUGUAGUAUCUACAUAUAGCUUCACAAUAUGUCCUUACUGUGAAGUCUUUAAAUCCUAGGUAUAAUCUAAAAGCAUUUAUUGCAUUAAUUACAACUAAUAUUUCCCUAUCAGUAUUAUUUAUUGUCUUUAGUUUAUGUAGAUACUACAAUAAAAUUAAUAGUAAGAAAAUUUCAACUAGAAGAUGGGUCUUAUUUGAAGAUAUUAUUACAGGAAAUGGAUAUAAAGUAAUAUUUGAGCAUAUAAAAGGAAAAGAUAAUACUAUUCCUGAUAUAUUCUCUUGGUCAUCUAUUUUGCAGGAACGAAGAGAGGAGUAAGCCCAACAGGGGGUGAUUGUUUUGUCUUGGAGCAGAAAACAAAUUAAGAAUAUUUCCACCAAAUACAUAUAAAUUUAAGCCCAGAGAUCAUAUUGUACUUGAUGAAGUACAAGAAUGCAUACUAGAUAAUUUCUGGUAUCAAUAUAAUAACAAACGAGAAGAUAAAGGUUAUAUGCUAGCUAUACUAAAUAGCUUAGCUGAAUAUUUUCAUACAAUUAAUGGUUUAAUACAACCAAAAGAGACUCCUAAAAAUAUAGAGAAAAGACCUAUAUAUGUCAUAUAUAAAGGAAAGGCUCCAGGAAUUUAUGUAUCAUAUGAGCAUGUCAUAGCUCAAAAGAUAGAAAAAGAUAAAGAUGGAGGAAUAUUAUGGAAAAAAUACACUGAUAUUGAUCAAGCACUCUCAUAUGCUAGAAAUAUUUUGGGAGCGAAUUAUUUUUUAGAGCCUGCAGCAAAAGAAUAUAUUAAAAAAUAUAAAAAAUCAAAGGAGGUUAAGUUAAGCUUACCUGGAAUUAAUAUAAGAGAAGAUGGACCAUCCGGGAUACCAACAUAUAAAGAAGUCUUACAGAAAGAGACAGAUUCAUUGAAUGAAGAAUAUAUUGAGAAGAAGCUAAAAGAAAAGUUUGAAUCAAUAUAUCCCCAGUGGAACAAAAAUUUAAAGGAAGAAAUUUUGGAAGAAAUAAUGGUUGAAAUAGAUGAAAAAUUUAAAAAUAUAUAUAAAGAUUAUGAAUUAAAAAUGGAUAUACCAAUAUGUGACGAUGAUAUGAUGGAUAUCCGAGGUGAUAGUCAAGAAUAAGAGUUAAGAAAGAAAAAUCGUGAAUUGUUGUCAUGGUUUGAAUUAUGGCAACCAGAAGAACCCGAUAUUGAAGAAAGUGAAUAAAUAUGAAAAUAUAGCUUUUUAUAAAAGAAUAUUCGGUCUCACAUAAAAAUAUAUUCUCUGUGUUGUUAAAGUGUUAACAACAAUUCGGCCGUGGGAAGAAUAACACAUGCCAUGAUAUUUGUAAUUGAAGUCUGCGACGUCAAUCAUUCGACCCUGGAAAACCAUAGCAAGCAGCAUGCAGAAUGCCAUGGGAAGAUAGUACACGAUAGAGAACAGAGCACAAAAGGAAUAAACAGUGAUUCAACUAUAGCCAGGACAAUUAUUGAAGAAUGCAGCAACGUCCAGCUAUCCAGGCAACAACAGAGAUAAAUAAUUGAGGAGUCUCCCGAAGGCUCUCCUCGGGCUAUAAAAGGAGAAGCCGAGCAAAGCAUUGGAUACCAGCAUCAUAAGCAUAAGAAGAACGACCACCACCAUCAACGAAGACACAAGACCUCCACUCCCACUCCGUUCUCCAAUACUCCAUGAAGACCACCACCUCAGAAGUGUUCUGAGAAUACCCACCAUUAGUAGUAACAUCCUACUAUUGUUCAAACUUGUUUGCUUCGAAGAGCAUAAGAAAAGAGAUAAUUUUUAUCUAAAAAAUUGAUAAAAUCAAAUUAGAAGCACUUGUCAAAUUUUAAAUUAAACGUGUACUUACUAACCUACGUGUAUCAGUUGGAUCAUUCUUUUCUUACAGGAAAUUAUCGAUAUUUAUGUCCCAUUAGAGCAUCUCUAGCGGUCACCCAAUAAAUAUUUUCAAUAACCAGUUAAUAGGAAUAUCUCAAAAUAUAUCACUUUCAUUAUUAUUGGAGAGUUACUUUUAUAUUAUAGUCUUCCCGAGUACAUCCCAAUACGUAUUCUUCGUGAGUACAUCCCAACACGGUAACUGGAUUGGAAAAGGGACUUUUAGCUUUGAUCUCGUUCCAGGCCCAAAAAUGCCAGGACCGGGCCAAACAAGGAAGAAGCUGCAGCAACAACCACUGCCGGCUCCCUUUCGGGUUCCUCCAUCACUACUCUAUUGCUAUGGGAUAUGGCAUCACUCAUCGCACAUGGACAUUGGUGUAGUGCAGUGUAGGCUCCACGCCACCAAGGAGAAGCAGGACUGAUGAAGGAGAUGCUCUGCUGCUCCGGUAGACUGGUACCAAAGCAAGCAUUCAACCUCUGCUCUCUGCUGCUGCUGGGGCCACUCGUGCACAGUACAGAAGACCGUACGACUCGCGUCUCAUUGGGCGCCUCCCUGACAUGGUGGGCCCACGCGUACCUACCGCGUCACUCUCCUGGUGAUCACAUCACAUCAAGAUAUUUCCAAUCUUUUUUUAACGGAAGAUAUUUCCAAUCUUUCAGCUCUAGAGCACGUAAAAACUGAGGCUCCUAACCAUAUCAUCACAAGUUCUUAACCGCCGAGAUAAAAAAAAAGACCAUAACGGCCUUUAAGAUUCGUGCUCGGAACCGCACCGGCAGUUCUCGAUCCGACGGUCCGCUGGCGCCACUACCAGACGGCGUACUAGUAGGCUACAGCCACCCGCACUAGCGACUGUGGUCUGGCUGCACUGGAACGAACGAGACGAGCCCAAUGCAUGGCGCCAAAGAAAGCAUCCGGCCCCCCAGAGACAAAGACGGCGCGGCGCCCAGCGAGCAACACAGCGCGUGGCAGCCUCACAUGCACGCGCGACGACGGAGACCGCAGCAAAGCAACGACAAAAGAAACCCAAAGCCUCCAGUCCACGGCGGCGCGCGCAAUGCCGGCAGGACCCGCGCCAAUGCCGCCGCCGGCCGGCGAGCGCACGGUGAAGGCGUGAAGCGAACGACCCACCCCACGCCAACGCGAACGCGUACAAAUACUUACCCGCCCGAUGAGCUCCCAGAGCGAGGCGUUGAGCGCCGCGGCGGUGCCGAUGACCUGCGGGAACGCGCCGCCGAACCGCACGCCCGGACCCCUGACCGACACGCCGUGCAGCGCCCCCGACAACCACUCGUACCCGGCCACGCCCAGCCGGGGCACCCCGGCCGCGUUGUUCACCAGCAGCCGCACCUUCUCGGCGCGGGUGAGCCGGGACACGAAGUCGCGGGCGCGGGCCCGCAGCGGCAGCGACCGACGGCAGAACGGCAGCGACGUCGCGGGGCCGCCCGGGGCGCACGCGAACGCCGCUCGCGCCGUCGCCGCCGGCGCCGUCGCGGCCAGCAGGACGGCUAGGAGGAGGAGGAGGAGGGUGCGGCGCCGCAUGGCUGCCGGCGGCGGGAUGGGACGGCGGAGGGAGGCGGCAAUGUGCUUGUGGAGAUGGAGCGGCGGGGCAGUGUGCGGUUAUAUAGAGCGAGCAGGCAGCGCCGCAAGUUGCAACCACCGCAGGGGAAGAAGAUGGUGGUUAUUGCAAAGCAAAGAAUAUCCUCCUCUCUUUUUUCUGUUCCUUCUCAUUUUUUGAAGAGGUCACAAACCGCUACUAUUUCAUAUGAUAUUGUUUACUUAAUUAUCUUGGUAUUAGUAGAUUUGGAGGACUGUAACUGCUGCGUGACAGUUCUGUGCAGUCUGCUAUGUCUUGAGGAAUUUAGGCUCCUCCAAAACUCCCAACUUUGAUACUAGGCAAAAAGAAGAUUCUCCAUCACAUCAAACUUGCGGUACAUGCAUAGAGUACUAAAUGUAGAUGAAAUCAAAACUAAUUGCAUAGUUUUGUUGUACUUUGCGAGACGAAUCUUUUAAGCCUUAUUAGUCAAUAUUUGGACAAUAAUUCACAAAUACAAACGAAACGCUACAGUGUGCUACAGUGCUACAACAGUAAUUUUGCACCUCCAAAUUUUGGGCAACUAAACAAGGCCUCAAUUGCUGAGAAAGGCAGGUAAACUGACUGGUAAGGCCUUGUUUAGUUGCCCAACUUGGGUGCACCUAAAUUACUGCAGCAACACUGUAGCGUUUCGUUUGUAUUUAUAAAUUAUUGUCUAAAUAUUGACUAAUUAGGCUCAAAAGAUUCGUCUCGCAAAGUACAACAAAACUGUGCAAUUAGUUUUUGAUUUCAUCUCCAUUUAGUACUCCAUGCAUGUACCGCAAGUUUGAUGUGAUGGGGAAUCUUCUUUUUGCAUAGUAUCAAAGUUGGGAGUUGGGGGUGAACUAAACAAGGGCUAAAUGUGUGCCAAGGACAGGACAAAGCACAACAUGAUUAGCAAACCACCUUGGUAAUGGUUUCAGAAUUUGCAGGGACAAUAAGUAAUUUUUUUUGUUUUUUUAAAAAAUAAAAAUUUAUUAGAGGAUAUAUCAGUUAAAGGAUGGCACAUGAAUUAGUGUAUGAUUUUGUGCUGAGAUUAAUUGCCAUGGAGGUUAAGAUCACAGUACUUGCACCGUUGCAGAGUACCAUCUUUUGUUGCAAGGAAAAAGAGGAUCUUUAUUGCCUACUACUACUACUAUGAAAGCAGAGGCACCCUGUUGCCACCUUUCCCGGCCCCUUUCAUCCAGAAGCACUCUUUCAACCAUCCCUUGAUGUUUACUAACUACAAGUGCUUUUGAUAGACAAUUUGACGCAAAAUUCAUCCCAACAAAAAGCACAGAAGCUAUCUGAAAUCCACUCGUUCCAAACAAAUUCGUGGUGGUUAUGAUGCACACAGUGACCAAGUAAAUGGCUAUGAUAUCAAAUCGCCUUGUUUUUUAGCUUUUGGGUUGAUGUACCGUGAAAAGAGGCUGUCAUCGCCUUUAGCAACCAGCCUCAUCAGCACGUACACAUUUGUGAAAGAGAAAGAGAAAGAGAAAGAGAGGUGGAGAUAUUCAUGGCAUGAAAUGAAUUGAAGGACCACAUGCAAGAAAAGACCAACAAAAGGAUACUUCUCUAUCCAAAAACAUGUCGGCGUGUCGCCGGAGCGAGACGUACGUAGCACGCAUGCAACCACUCUGGCCACAGCCUCAAGCGCCGCUAUCAUCCCAGCGCAAAAAUGUUGGUGUAUACGUACAUGGAAAAAAGAAGCAUGUACGCGCUUGUACGAGUUCAGAACACGUUCCAAAAAAACGCACAUAAAUCCAUGCAAAACUGCUGAAAUUCACCGCCCAAAUGUUGCUACGUACUACUUGGCGAAAACCAUGCGUGUGCUUGUACGAGUUAAGAAGAUGUUUGGAAACACACGGCACAAAAUUCAUGCCAGUAAGGCCAUGUUUUUUUCAGCUUCUUGGACCAGCUUUCCGGUUUCUAACAGCCAGAAGUAGAAAGCUAAAACAAACAGUCUAACUGAUUACCGUUAUUAAAUGGUCAGAUUUAGCGGGCGGGCAGCCAACCUGCCACGGCGUACGGGAUUUCUCCAGCGGUUGCUUCGUCCAAUACUCCUACUACCAAAUACUGCCAUGCAUCGAAUUGCCUUUCAUGUCACCGAACGCCUUUACAGCAACGGUUCAUUGAAUGAUCGCAGCACACAGCUUCCGAUCUCUGAACCUAAUCGUGAUCUGAUUAGGUUCUUAACAGUGCUCGAGAAAAAAGAGAGUUGAUUGUGUGAUUAAGAAAGUUUAUCCAGCCGCCAAAUGUUUUGUUUUUGUCUUUACUACCCUGAUGAAGAAGAUUGCUGCAGCCUGAAAGCUACUCUUGCUUGAACAGCAGCUAGGUUGAGCAAUUAGUAGCUUUCACAGAAAGAAUCACUUGCCGAUUUGACCAACCCUGAUGACUGAUGAGGAUAAGGUAGCGUUGAUAAAAUUGACAGCUUCAUCCAGACGGUCGGUCGGUUUCCUGCUACGGAUCUCCGCUCGCUUUCUUGACGUUGAUCCGAUCCAAUCCAAUCCAUGGGAGGAAAGCAGAGUGUAACACCCCAAGAAAAAACAAACACCACCUUAGGAUGCUACUAAGCCACACCGGACAAAAGGGACAGAUUUUUGACAGCACCUUCCCUAAAUCAGGAACACCGCGGAAGCAAGAAACAAUAAGAUAUGAAAAUAGAUAAAGCAUACUAGCAUAAAUAAAAGAUCCUAACAUGAUAUUCAAACGAUUAAGGCAAGGUUUAACAAAGCUUAACCAUCAUUAAGCAACAAAUAGACUCUCAUAGAGAAGGACUUAAAUAUUACAGUAUCACACUAGAGGAUUUUGAUUAAAGAGAAGUGUGUGACGUGCUGCUACUUCCCAACCCCCAAGCAAAGCAUCCAUCCAUCAAGUACCUGAGAGGAUAACAAAAAAAUAGGGGUGAGAUAUAAAAUCUCAGCAAGUAACUAGCUUUAACAAGCUAUUUAAACUACAAGUUCAUUAGACCAUGGUUUAACUAUUAUCAGUAAGUGUAUCUCCUCAAUGAAUAAUAAUAAUAAUAACUCCAACACCCUCAUACAUAAAUAAAACCAAUUCGUCAUCAAACCUUGGAGAAAAUUCACUUCUCACCACCACUGCCAAAUAAAUACCAUAGAAAACCGAUAGCACCCUAAAUGCAAAUGCAAUGCAAAUGCCAUGUCUCCUGCCUUCAUACUCAACAAAGUAUGAAGCUGCAUCGUUAUGCCCAAUAAACGAUGCUGUACCGGUACGGUCGCGGCUAUCAAGCGGCGAAUUAACUCCAUAUGCCAUGCAUUGUGAUGCAAUGAAAUGCAAUGCCAAGACAGAUCGCACAAAGAGAGUAUACACCGCAUAUACCAGAUAAGUCUCUCCUCAUUUGACAACAUAAACCUCAUCAUAAUUAUGCUAACAAGAGCCAUUACCAAGUUAUAAAGUAAAGAAUAAGGCAUAUGUAAUAAAAACAGUAAGAUGUGCAUAAACUUGUAAUUGAAUGGAUGAUAUUGGAUAAGUUAUCAUUCUGAAAUUUAAGGUGGAGGUAGGAAAAAUAGCAAAUUAAAGCUUGUAGCAACCACCGCUACGUUACUUGCCUCCCAAAGAAGGAGAUAGCCGCUCUAAGCGUGAUCCGGAGCGUUACCACCUGUUUUGACACAAUAAGAUCAGAACAUAUCCUCAAACAACCAUGUGCACACAGCAAGUAAAGCACCCAUAUAGCCCAACCCGUCAAACAAGCGACGAUGGUAAACAUCACCUAGGUUAACCGCAGCAGUGCUGCUUCACUUUUUUGUAUCUUUAGAAUUACAAAAGAUAUGACAGCAAGCAAAUACAUCUUAGAAAACUAAGGGAGAAAUCUUACAACUUUGUUCAGAUCCUUUAUUUUUAGCAUAAUCCAAAGAGGGGUAAAACUGCAGUUGAAUGUGAAGUACAGAAUCUGUCUGAAAUUUCGGGCAGCAGCAUACAAAAAUUCAUAUCUCCCAAACCCCUUGUCCAAAAAUUCUAAAAGUUUGUCAGGACAUAUAUCUCUGAGAAACCUAAAACUUUGUUAUUAUGGGUUUCCACGAAUUCCAUCCUUAAGAUCAUCUAAUACAUCUCUGAACAUCUGCUGUCAAAAAUCUGGACAUUCAGAAACAGCGUCCAAACAAUAUUCAAUAACUGAAGGUAUACUCCACCAAAAAAUAUGAAACUUGGACAGCAGUUACAUCUCAUAAUUCUCUACAACUUUUGUAUGAUCCACUUCUGGAGGAGAAAUCGUUUAGGUCGCCAAAACUACAAGGACAUCAGCACUGCCCGAGCUACAGGACAGCACACCUUAAAUCGACAUUCAAACCGUGUUUUCCCCAACAAAUCCACUAAUCCUCAGGAC